rnacentral:lncRNA from 1 species
CAUUUCACCCAGAAUUUGAAAUACCACUUUUUUUCCAAAAUAAUCAAUAUGAGCAUGGUACGAAGAUAACCAGUUCAUCCCAAGAAUAAUAUCAAAAUCAUGCAUAUUUAAUUGAAUCAGAUCUGUUGCUAAUUCUUUUUCUUCUAUUUGGAUUAUGCAAUUCUUAAAAACAAUGUUAGCAACAGCAAUGUUCUUAAGAAGUGUGCUAACAUAUAAUGGCUCAUUCAAUUCUUCAGACACAUAAUUCAAGAAAGUAGCAAAUUUGAGAGAUAUAAAAGAGUGAGAAGAAUCAAAAUCGAAUAGCACAUGAGCAUGUAUGGAAUUGACUGGGAUAGUACUUGUCACCAC